AAACCAACAGGGAUUGCCUUAGUAGCGGCGAGUGAAGCGGCAAGAGCUCAAAUUUGAAAUCUGGUACCUUCGGUGCCCGAGUUGUAAUUUGAAGAAAGCUAUCUUGGAGGUGGCCUUUGUCUAUGUUCCUUGGAACAGGACGUCAUGGAGGGUGAGAAUCCCGUGUGAUGAGGUGUCCAUUUCCGUGUAAGAUGCUUUCGAAGAGUCGAGUUGUUUGGGAAUGCAGCUCAAAGUGGGUGGUAAAUUCCAUCUAAAGCUAAAUAUUGGCGAGAGACCGAUAGCGAACAAGUACUGUGAAGGAAAGAUGAAAAGAACUUUGAAAAGAGAGUGAAAAAGUACGUGAAAUUGUUGAAAGGGAAGGGUAUUUGAUCAGACUUGGUAUUUAGCUAUCAUCGCUCCUUGUGGGUGGUGCUCUAGCUUUUUACUGGGCCAGCAUCAGUUUUGGUGGCAAGAUAAUGACAGUUGAAUGUGGCUCCUCGGAGUGUUAUAGCUUCUGUUGAUGUUGCCUACCGAGACUGAGGUCUGCGGCUUUUGCCUAGGAUGCUGGCGUAAUGAUCCAAUACC
rnacentral:rRNA from 1 species